CUGUUUAUCAAAAACAUUUCUGAGGGGAAAAUGUUUUUAGUAUAACCUGCUCAAUGCUUUAGUAAAUAGCUGCAGUAUUUUGACUGUACAAAGGUAGCAUAAUCAUUAGUCUUUUGAUUGGAGGCUCGUAUGAAUGGUUGAACAGAAUAUUAACUUUUUUAAUUAUUCGAUGUUUUAAUUUAUAGUUUAUGUAAAAAUGCAUAGUUACUUGAAAGGGACGAUAAGACCCUAUAGAAUUUAAAAAUGUUCAUGAGAAAAUAUUGUAUUUUUUUGUUGGGGUGACAGUAAAUAAACUUUUAUGUAAUUCUCAUUGUUGAAUGUACAAUUGAUCCUAAUGUUUAGAUAAAAAGAUAAAAUUACCUUAGGGAUAACAGCAUGAUUUUUUUUAAAAGAUCUUAUUAAUAAAAAAGAUUAUGACCUCGAUGUUGAAUUAAAAUAAAAUUUUGGUGUAGAAGCUUAAUUUUUUAGUCUGUUCGACUUUAAAUUUUACAUGAUCUGAGUUCAAACCGG
rnacentral:rRNA from 1 species